GAAGUGGUUUAUGAUGACAAUUUUUUUUCCCCGUCUUAUCGACUUUGGUGAGAACUACAAACUAAGCCAGUUUAUUCUGAAACCACAAA